rnacentral:rRNA from 1 species
AUGAACGCUGGCGGCGUGCCUAAUACCUGCAAGCCGAGCGCACGGACGAGAAGCUUGCUUCUCUGAUGUUAGCGGCGGACGGGUGAGUAACACGUGGAUAACCUACCUAUAAGACUGGGAUAACUUCGGGAAACCGGAGCUAAUACCGGAUAAUAUUUUGAACCGCAUGGUUCAAAAGUGAAAGACGGUCUUGCUGUCACUUAUAGAUGGAUCCGCGCUGCAUUAGCUAGUUGGUAAGGUAACGGCUUACCAAGGCAACGAUGCAUAGCCGACCUGAGAGGGUGAUCGGCCACACUGGAACUGAGACACGGUCCAGACUCCUACGGGAGGCAGCAGUAGGGAAUCUUCCGCAAUGGGCGAAAGCCUGACGGAGCAACGCCGCGUGAGUGAUGAAGGUCUUCGGAUCGUAAAACUCUGUUAUUAGGGAAGAACAUAUGUGUAAGUAACUGUGCACAUCUUGACGGUACCUAAUCAGAAAGCCACGGCUAACUACGUG